rnacentral:misc_RNA from 1 species
AAGGAUCAUUAAUGAAAUAUCAGGAGUUGCUGCUGGCCUUCGGGCAACGUGCACGCUCCGUUUUCAUCCACUCACACCUGUGCACUUAUUUGAAAGGCUUCGGUCUUUCCAUUACACACUACAUUGAAAACUCAGAACGAUAAUGUUAUUCAUAACAAAUGUAACAACUUUCAACAACGGAUCUCUUGGCUCUC